rnacentral:lncRNA from 1 species
AGAUUGUUUCAAUCCGUACAAGGCUUUCUUCAAUCUGCAUAUCUUUCUUUGACCUUUGUGCAGUAUCAAAUUCCUCUUCUUCUAAGUCUCCAUGAAACAUCAAACUGUUGCAAGUCCCCAUCAAAAUUAGAUGUACAAGAUAAAAAAAAAACUCUAAUAGUGUUCAUCUUAGCAAUAGGGGGAAUGUCUCUUGAUAAUUCACUCCAUAAGUCUGAGUGAAUCCACUAGCUACCAAUCUUGCUUUGAAUCUUUUACCCGACCCAUCAGCUUUGUGCUUCACUUCACAGUGAAGACUCAUUUGUAGUCAACCAACUUCUUGUAUGGUGCUGAAGUGACAAAUUCUCAAGUCUCA